rnacentral:rRNA from 1 species
GAGUUUGACAUGGCUCAGGACGAACGCUGGCGGCGCGCUUAACACAUGCAAGUCGAGCGAGAACCCAGGCUUCGGCCUGGGUGAAAGCGGCGAACGGGUGAGUAACACGUGAGUAAUCUGCCCUCGACAUCGGGAUAGCCCGGGGAAACCCGGAUUAAUACCGAAUGGCCCAACAGCUUUUCGGAGCGGUUGGAAAAGGUAGCUUCGGCCUCCGGUCGAGGAGGAGCUCGCGGCGGAUUAGCUUGUUGGUGAGGUAACGGCUCACCAAGGCUUCGAUCCGUAGCUGGUCUGAGAGGACGAUCAGCCACACUGGGACUGAGACACGGCCCAGACUCCUACGGGAGGCAGCAGUGGGGAAUCUUGCGCAAUGGGCGAAAGCCUGACGCAGCGACGCCGCGUGAGGGAAGAAGGCCUUCGGGUUGUAAACCGUACUUUCUAGGAGGGAC